rnacentral:rRNA from 1 species
GACGAACGCUGGCGGCGUGCUUAACACAUGCAAGUCGAACGGAAAGGCCCUUCGGGGUUCUCGAGUGGCGAACGGGUGAGUAAAACGUGGGUGAUUUGCCCUGCACUUUGGGAUACGCCUGGGAUACUGGGUCUAAUACUGAAUUGGUCCACGCGCCUCCUGGUGUGUGGUGGCAAGCUUUUGUGGUGUGGGAUGGGCGUGCGGCCUACCAGCUUGUUGGUGGGGUAAUGGCCUACCAAGGCGACGACGGGUAGCCGGCCUGAGAGGGUGACCGGCCACACUGGGACUGAGAUACGGCGCAGACUCCUACGGGAGGCAGCAGUGGGGAAUAUUGCACAAUGGGCGCAAGCCUGAUGCAGCGACGCCGCGUGAGGGAUGACGGCCUGCGGGUUGUAAACCGCUUUCAAUAGGGACGAAGCGCAAGUGACGGUACCUAUAGAAGAAGCACCGGCCAACUACGUG